rnacentral:lncRNA from 1 species
AGAUACGGACAAUGACACUGACUUCAAUAAUUUUGAUAACGACAUAUUGAUGAAGACGAUAUGCUAUUCGAAAAAAAAAAAGUGACAGAUGGAAUUGAGUUAGAUUGUGAUGGGAGGGAAACCAUUGGAUUAGAAAAAGAGGAUCAGGCAAUACUAGUGCACAAUGAAUACCAAGACACCAAUGAUAUAGAAUAUCCAUCAUCUAAAGAACUAUUGUUCGUUAUAUCAUCUAACGAUGGGUAGGGUGUCGAUUUACAAAGUUUAUGGUUGAAACAUUUAUGAGCGAUCGAAGUUUGAGGUGGGUCAAAUGUUUUGUUUUGUUCAAGAAUUUAGGAAGGCGAUCUGGGCUUACAGAGAAGUAAACGAAUAUAAUGUCAAGUGCAAGGUAAAUGACAAAAGAAGAGUUCAAGGCAUCUGUAAAUCGGAAUGCAAAUAAAGAAUAUGGGCUUCUAAGAUGAAUAAUUCAGAAACCGUUCAAGUGAAGUAAUAUAUACCUCAACAUAUGGAGUAGGGAUUGUUACAAUCAUCAUUGUAAUGACAUUUUCAUAAUGAAUUGAUACAUUGACCAGUUCAAGGCAAAUCCAGAGUGUAAAACGAAAAGUAUGCAGGCAACCGUGAAGGAAGACUUGAAAAUAAACAUUGCUAGAAAUGUCACUGGGAAGGUUUGAAGAUAUGCGAAGCAAUUGAUAAACGCUACUAUCGGAGACCAAUUUGUGUGACUAAGG